rnacentral:ncRNA from 3 species
UGUGGGAGCGGGCUUGCUCGCGAAGGCGGUGGGUCAGUCAAAAUAUAGAGUGACUGAUCUAUCGCAUUCGCGAGCAAGCCCGCUCCCACA